GUGUCUGGCUCAGAUUGAACGCUGGCGGCAGGCCUAACACAUGCAAGUCGGGACGGUAGCACAGAGGAGCUUGCUCCUCGGGUGACGAGUGGCGGACGGGUGAGUAGUGUCUGGGGAUCUGCCCGAUAGAGGGGGAUAACCACUGGAAACGGUGGCUAAUACCGCAUAACGUCGCAAGACCAAAGAGGGGGACCUUCGGGCCUCUCACUAUCGGAUGAACCCAGAUGGGAUUAGCUAGUAGGCGGGGUAACGGCCCACCUAGGCGACGAUCCCUAGCUGGUCUGAGAGGAUGACCAGCCACACUGGAACUGAGACACGGUCCAGACUCCUACGGGAGGCAGCAGUGGGGAAUAUUGCACAAUGGGCGCAAGCCUGAUGCAGCCAUGCCGCGUGUAUGAAGAAGGCCUUCGGGUUGUAAAGUACUUUCAGCGGGGAGGAAGGCGAUGUGGUUAAUAACCGCGUCGAUGACGUACCGCAGAAGAAGCACCGGCUAACUCCGUGCCAGCAGCCGCGGUAAUUACGGGAAGGGGUGCAAGCGUUAAUCGAAUUACUGAGCGUAAGCGCCACGCAGCGUCUGUAGUCAGAUGUGAAUCCCGGCUUAACCUGGAACUGCAUUGAACUGCAGGCUUGAGUCUCGUAGAGGGGGGUAGAAUUCCAGGUGUAGCGGUGAAAUGCGUAGAGAUCUGGAGGAAUACCGGUGGCGAAGGCGGCCCCCUGGACGAAGACUGACGCUCAGGUGCGAAAGCGUGGGGAGCAAACAGGAUUAGAUACCCUGGUAGUCCACGCCGUAAACGAUGUCGACUUGGAGGUUGUUCCCUUGAGGAGUGGCUUCCGGAGCUAACGCGUUAAGUCGACCGCCUGGGGAGUACGGCCGCAAGGUUAAAACUCAAAUGAAUUGACGGGGGCCCGCACAAGCGGUGGAGCAUGUGGUUUAAUUCGAUGCAACGCGAAGAACCUUACCUACUCUUGACAUCCAGAGAACUUAGCAGAGAUGCUUUGGUGCCUUCGGGAACUCUGAGACAGGUGCUGCAUGGCUGUCGUCAGCUCGUGUUGUGAAAUGUUGGGUUAAGUCCCGCAACGAGCGCAACCCUUAUCCUUUGUUGCCAGCGAUUCGGUCGGGAACUCAAAGGAGACUGCCGGUGAUAAACCGGAGGAAGGUGGGGAUGACGUCAAGUCAUCAUGGCCCUUACGAGUAGGGCUACACACGUGCUACAAUGGCGCAUACAAAGAGAAGCGACCUCGCGAGAGCAAGCGGACCUCAUAAACACAAGUAGUCCGGAUCGGAGUCUGCAACUCGACUCCGUGAAGUCGGAAUCGCUAGUAAUCGUGGAUCAUAGGCCCUCAGGAAUACGUUCCCGGGCCUUGUACACACCGCCCGUCUCAAACAUGGGAGUGGGUUGCAAAAGAAGUAGGUAGCUUAACCUUCGGGAGGGCGCUACCUACAGAUGAUC
rnacentral:rRNA from 1 species